rnacentral:scRNA from 1 species
GUAAUCAGCGACUACGUGACCAAGGGCGAUGC